GGCGCCAUGGCUUAGUGGUAAAGCGCCUUUCUUGUAAACAGGACAUCCUGGGUUCGAUCCCCAGUGGUGCCU
rnacentral:tRNA from 1 species